rnacentral:rRNA from 1 species
GAUGAACGCUGGCGGCGUGCUUAACACAUGCAAGUCGAACGAGAAAUGGAGACGGAAACCUUCGGGCGGAAGGCUUCAUUUCGAGUGGCGGACGGGUGAGUAACGCGUGGGUAACCUGCCUCAUACAGGGGGAUAACAGUUGGAAACGACUGUUAAUACCGCAUAAGACCACAGCACCGCAUGGUGCGGGGGUAAAAACUCCGGUGGUAUGAGAUGGACCCGCGUUCGAUUAGCCAGUUGGCGGGGUAACGGCCCACCAAAGCGACGAUCGAUAGCCGAUCUGAGAGGAUGACCGGCCACAUUGGGACUGAGACACGGCCCAAACUCCUACGGGAGGCAGCAGUGGGGAAUAUUGCACACUGGGGGAAACCCUGAUGCAGCGACGCCGCGUGAGUGAAGAAGUACUUCGGUAUGUAAAGCUCUAUCAGCAGGGCAGAAAAUGACGGUACCUGAGUAAGAAGCCCCGGCUAACUACGUG